GGCUAACAUUUAUUCAAAGGUAACCAUGUUGAAGACAAGUUAAUGGAUCUGCCUAAUUCUACUAUGGUCAUAGGAAAA